rnacentral:tmRNA from 1 species
GGGGCUGAUUCUGGAUUCGACGGGAUUUGCGAAACCCAAGGUGCAUGCCGAGGGGCGGUUGGCCUCGUGAAAAGCCGCAAAAAAUAGUCGCAAACGACGAAAACUACGCUUUAGCAGCUUAAUAACCUGCUUAGAGCCCUCUCUCCCUAGCCUCCGCUCUUAGGACGGGGAUCAAGAGAGGUCAAACCCAAAAGAGAUCGCGUGGAAGCCCUGCCUGGGGUUGAAGCGUUAAAACUUAAUCAGGCUAGUUUGUUAGUGGCGUGUCCGUCCGCAGCUGGCAAGCGAAUGUAAAGACUGACUAAGCAUGUAGUACCGAGGAUGUAGGAAUUUCGGACGCGGGUUCAACUCCCGCCAGCUCCACCA